rnacentral:rRNA from 1 species
GGGCAGUAGCAAUAUUGUCAGUGGCGGACGGGUGAGUAACGCGUAGGAAUCUAUCUUUGGAUGGGGGACAACCGUGGGCAACUACGGCUAAUACCGCAUAACGCCUGAGGGCCAAAGCUUGAGAGAGCGUCUGAAGAGGAGCCUGCGUCUGAUUAGCUAGUUGGUGGGGUAAAGGCCUACCAAGGCUUCGAUCAGUAGCUGGUCUGAGAGGAUGAUCAGCCACAUUGGGACUGAGACACGGCCCAAACUCCUACGGGAGGCAGCAGUGGGGAAUAUUGGACAAUGGGCGCAAGCCUGAUCCAGCAAUGCCGCGUGGGUGAAGAAGGUUUUCGGAUUGUAAAGCCCUUUUGGCGGGGACGAUAAUGACGGUACCCGCAGAAUAAGCUCCGGCUAACUUCGUGCCAGCAGCCGCGGUAAUACGAAGGGGGCUAGCGUUGCUCGGAAUGACUGGGCGUAAAGGGCGCGUAGGCGGACUGCACAGUCAGGCGUGAAAUUCCUGGGCUUAACCUGGGGACUGCGUCUGAGACGUGUGAUCUAGAGUGAGGAAGAGGGUCGUGGAAUUUCCAGUGUAGAGGUGAAAUUCGUAGAUAUUGGAAAGAACACCGGUGGCGAAGGCGGCGACCUGGUCCUUGACUGACGCUGAGGCGCGAAAGCGUGGGGAGCAAACAAGAUUAGAUACCCUGGUAGUCCACGCUGUAAACGAUGUGUGCUUGAUGUUGGGGUGCUUAGCACUUCAGUGUCGGAGCUAACGCGGUAAGC